UACAGAGGUCUCAAGCGUUGUUCGGAUUCAUUGGGCGUAAAGGGUGCGUAGGUGGCGCGGCAAGUCGGGUGUGAAAUUUCGGAGCUUAACUCCGAAACUGCAUUCGAUACUGCCGUGCUUGAGGACUGGAGAGGAGACUGGAAUUUACGGUGUAGCGGUGAAAUGCGUAGAUAUCGUAAGGAAGACCAGUGGCGAAGGCGGGUCUCUGGACAGUUCCUGACGCUGAGGCACGAAGGCCAGGGGAGCAAACGGG
rnacentral:rRNA from 1 species